GCUGGGCAUGGUGACACAUGCCUGUAAUCCCAGCAGCUGAGGAGGCAGAGGUAGGAGGAUUGCAAGUUCAAAGCCAGCCUCAGCAACUUAGUGACACCCUGUCUCAA
rnacentral:sRNA from 1 species